rnacentral:lncRNA from 1 species
UAAUUAACAAGUUAUUAUUUCAUGAAAUAAAGAUAAGAAGACUACAUAAUUGCUACAGACAUUCUCCAGUCUGCUGCCUUAUAUAACCAAUAAGCGCAAGCAAUACAUUAUUUAUUAGUUCAUGCAAAGAACACCAUUUAAGCAAAUUCAUGCCUUGUUCCAAGGGAAACAAUCAUUGAAAAUCUUCUUGUCUUUAUUCCACAUACAAGGGCCUAAAGGUUGAACAAUCCACGAACAAUAAUUGUCGUCGCAUUUGUCGUCAUCCCUUUGUACCGAGUAAAUAUCAAACCAAUGAAAGUUGUUUUUCCAUGCAAACGAGCAAUAAAAGAGGGUGUUGUCUACAAAAUUGGGUUUGAAACGAAAAGUAAAGUAGCCAUUGUGAUGCAAUAGUUUGACACCCAGAUCAUCAUCUUUGGAUUUGCAAUGAACAGUUAGGUCCAACCCUAAAACAUUAGUGACAUUAACUGUCUGCGUUUUAGGAAACAUCCAGCCUUCACACCUACUAAGCACCAAAAGAAACAUCGUUAGGAACCACAAGCUUCUGGUGGUCAUGGCUCUCAUCUUUAUGGAGUCCUUAGCCUUUUUACUUUUUUAUAUUUUGGAUUUGGAAUCAGAACAUAGCAUCAACCUGUAUGUCAGUGUAUAAAUAGAGAUCUGAUAAUACUUGCCAUAUGUAUCUCAAAUGAUAUUUUAGGAGAAAAAAUCAAAUUAGUACUUAAUAAUUUUUGGUAAGGUUUUCCUAUUUAACAUUUUUAGUAUAUAUUUGAAUGUCAUGCUAUAAUCUGAUACUCCUUACCAUAAUCUAUGUAUCGAAAAUCAUAUUUUAGAGGAAAAAUCAAAUUAAUACUUAGGAAUUUUUAGUAAGGUUAUCCUAUUUAACAAAUUUUAGUAUAUAUUUGAAUUUCAUACUAUAAUUUGAUACUGGUUGCCAUAAUUUAUGCAUUUGAAAUCACAUUUUAAGGGGAAAAAUCUAAUUAAUACUUUACAGUUUUUAGUAAGGCUUUCCUAUUUAACAAUUUUCAAUAUAUAUUUGAAGUUCAUGCUAUAAUCUGAUAUUUCUUACCAUAAUUUGUCUGUCAAAUCACAUUUUAGGGGAGCAAAUCAAAUUAAUACUUAACAAUAUUUAGUAAGAUUUUCCUAUUUAACAAGUUCUAAUAUACAUUUGAAUGUCAUUUCCAUAAUUUAUGUAUCUCAAAUCACAUUUUAUGGGAACAAAAUCAUAUUAAUAGUUUCAAACGGAAAGAAAUUUAAGUUAUGUUUAUGUUAAGAUAUGUAUUCAGUGAUUGUAUAUCCAAUAAACAUGGCAUCUCCUUUUGAAAACAGAAGCAAGAAUGUAAAACAAUUGGUAUUGAAUUUUGGUUCAACGGUACAAGAUUUGUUUUGAGUACGUAAUAUCUUGAAUUUAAACUCCCAAUUUGAUUCAAACUAAUAAAAAUAUAUUAAAAUAGUUUCGCACUUGUUACAUAUGUAUGAUCUUUAAAGAUAUAAUACAAAAGUUGAAUGCCUAUUUCUUAGUGGAAAGAUCAAAAGCAGAAAUUAAGAGCUCGUUUGGAACGAAUAAAUUAUGGUUAUAUAAUUCAUUUGAAAAUGAAUUCCAAAUAGAAUUUAUUUACGAAUGAAUUUAUUAUAUUUGAUAUGCUACAAUUUAAAAUAAGAAAUUCAAUUGAAUUUCACAAAAUUAUGUUUGGCAUAAAUUCUUAAAUGAAAAUUCAUUUGUUUUUAUUUCUUAUAACACCCUCGACAUAAUAAUUUAACAAAAAUAAAUAACAAACACAAAUUAUAUUUAUUAUGUACAAUAUAAUAACUUGUCAAUAAAUAUAGUUGAGUUUAUAGUGGAAGGUAAAUUUGUCAAUAAAUAUUUCAAUGGUCAAUUUUGUGAAAUUCAUUUAUAAAUUACAUCAAUUUUAGUAGAAUUUAAGUUAGGCAUACUCAAUUUCAUAGAAUUCAAAUCUAUAUAUAUAUAUAUAUUUUUUCCAAAUACAACAUUUUGGAUUUUCAAAUGAAUUUCACAAAAUUUUGUAGAAUAUAUUUGUUCAAACCGGUUCUAACUGAACUCAUUGGUUUAGUUUGGUUUAAUUUUAACAAUUUUCAAUUUGGUUUUUAUUCUAAUAAAAAAUUAAUUUUUUUAGAUGAAAAAAUAAAAAAAAUUUUGAAUUUAAUUCAAUCUUGAUUAUAUAAAAUCGAAAAAUCUAGUAACUGAAAAGCGAAACAUUAAAAAAGUUGAAACAUUCAAAAUUAAAACUAACAAAAUAGUAUUAAUAAUAUAGCAUUUAAACCAUAUACACUCAUAAGAAGUAAUUCAAAGUCGUAAAAUAGGUUUUCAAAUCAUGAUUAGUCCUCAGGGUACCAAAAAAUAAUAUAGUAUCCGUACAUGUACUUUCAUUUAAUAAAGGUUCAUGAAUGCCACGUAUGAUCGUUGUUUUUCCUAUCCGACAAGUUUACAUCAAUUCGGUUUUUCGUCAUCCCCAGAAAAAUAUGGUCGUAGAUCUUCAUGUUUUGCCUGUUUAUAAAAACGACGAGUCAUUGUUAGAUCUUUUGUCUGUUCAAUUGUCUGGCUAACUUCAUCUGCAACUACAAUAUGUUAGUCUAAGCAGAAUUUGUUCCACUAUUAGCAGAUCUAAAGGACAAUCGUUUUGAAAAUAUAUAAUUACUAUGAAACAAAAGAAUUAUAAUAACCGAUUUUUAUGUGGUAAUGCUGGAGUUAGUUUCCAAUUUUCAGUUUAUCAAUUUUAGCCAAAUUAAAAAAAAUGAAAAAAAAAUUUGAAAUUACAGGUAGAAAAAAAUAGAAGUUAUGAAUACAAUUAAUUAAGGGUGUGUUGGAUAAUAAAUUUUUAAGUAGCUUUUAGCGUUUUAAUCAAUUAAAAUAUUAAACACUAUUUUUUUAUGUUGUUCAGAAACAUAUCUUGUUUUAAUUAGCUUUUAGAGGUUAAGUUAGCGUUUUAUAAAAAGUUAAUCUAUGUAACGUUUAACUUUUAGUUUUAUAAAAAGUUACUGAAACAGCUAACAGUUAAACGCUAUUAAACAACUAAUAGCUACUAAAACGUUAAUUUUAUCGAAUGAACCCUAAGAGAUUCUUAAAGAAAAGAAAAAGAUGUAAUGGCUAUAGUUUUUGCAAAAACGACAAACAAUCUUACACAAUUAAUUAUUUAUUUUUAAUUCAUUAGGAGCUUUAAUGAAUCAAAGUAAUAUUGCAAGAUACAUAACAGGAGAAUCCAAAAGAUUUGGAUUCAAAACCCUUUAACUCUUCAUAUUAAUGCGAAAAUCAAUCAACCCAUACAUGAUUAGCUUCCGUUAAUUAUUGUUAACCAAACCAAUCAAAACGACGACGGAGGAUUCCAAGAAAAACAAAUAUCCACUUUCUUAGUAUGCUGAUUUAGCAUACAAGGGCCAAAGGAUCGGAUAAGCCACAAACAAAGAGUGCAUCGUUUGUCAUCUCUGUCGUCGAUGUAAAUAUCAAAGUAAUGGGAAACGUUUUGCCAUUUCAUGAGGCAAUAAAACUGUGUGGUGCCCCAAAUAUUUGGAUCAAAUGAGAAGGUAAAGUAGCCUUUAAAAUGGAGCAGCUUUUCACCCAAGUCAUUAUCUUUUGAUUUGCAGUGGACAGUGAGGUCUGUGUUUGGACCCAAAUCGUUUGUUACUUUUACUGUCUUUGUCUUUGGACCAAUCCCAUCUCCUUCGCUAAUGGCAGUCAAUAGCAGAAGCAACAUUAUUGACAGGUAGAAAUACUUAGGGAAAAGGAAGGGACUCAUGCUGUUUGCUUAUCUAAUUGUUGUUUCUUGAUGCUGGAAAUGUUCUUGCUUUAUAGGUAUAGUGAGACCUAACGCUAAUAUUUCCAUAUUUGGAUAUACGGGCUCCACUUACCAUGUAUAUUAAUUACUACAUAUAUUAAUACCAACUUACCAUAUUUUACCAAAAAAAAUAAUUGAAGUUUUUCUAAAUCAGAUCGGUCUAAACUAAAAUUUAUUAGUUGGAUUCAGUUCGGUUAAUUGAUUAAUAGAAUAAGAGAAUAUAGGAAAAAAUAAAAAUAAAAUAAAAAAAUUCAUUAUGUUAAAAUAAAUAAAUAAAUAUAUAUAUAUGUAUAUAUAAUCUGAAGAAAAAAAAUCUUCAAACAGCUUACUUGCCGCUCUCUCCUUUAAGAAUUGCUGUUUUUCUUUUUUUACAAUUUUUUUAAUUUUUUAAUUAAUUUUUAAACAUUUCUUUUUCUAUAUUUAAUCUAAUAUAUACAAUAUCCAAAAUUUUAAAUAAUUAAUACUUUAAAAUUGUUGAAUUUUGAAAUUAAAAAUUUUAAAACGUUUGUAAUUUUUUUUUAUUUUGUUAUUUAUAUCUGUCUACAUGUACCUGUCACACCCAUUUCCAUGGACCGGACUGGCACUAGGACCUGGGUGGGUUUAAGGCUCCCGAAGCCCGUAGUAAGCCUGUAUUAUUUAAAACUCGCAUUCUAUUCACAAUUGUGGAUUCAGGCCCAAUAAUUUAUUUCACAAAUAUAUCCAAAGUACAGUCCAUAUAAUAAAUGUCUAUACUCUAUUUAUUCAUUUACAACCCAGUUGGAAUACAAUUGCGGAAAUCUACUUUUACAUUUACAUUGAUAUUUCAAUUAUUAACAGUCUUUUAUAAAUAAUGUGUCAACUCCAUAAGGUCUUUCUUUCUUUCUAUUACCUAAAAAAAUAGUAGGCAGGGGUGAGCGCCAAACUCAAUGAGUAGGGUUAGAUAACCCUCUCACCCCACACAAUCACACAAAUNNNNNNNNNNNNNNNNNNNUAUAUGCUCACACAGCCAGUCACACAAAUGGCAUAUCACCAGCACUCACAAUUAUUAACAUCUUCAUAUAAUCACGUCACGUGAAAAUUAGUCAGUGGAGUCACCGAACUCCCGAUGAGUCGUCCUCCCACAUGGCUCAUCCUCUCACGUGUGCACCAGGGAGCCGAUCCCCCAUACUGGCCGACCGGUCUAAUCCUCACUUGACCAGCCCUCUCAUUAUUUUUUCAUUCUCUCUUUUCUUUUCCAUACUAACAAGAGGCAACCUGGUGGUCUCCAUCCAAUCUAGAUCAUCAAGCGCUCACAACAGGAGGCCACCCUGCGGGCUGCAAUCAAAUCUAGAUUUUCAGAUGCGAAACAACAAGCGGUCAUCCUGUGGUUAACGAUAACGGUAACGGGGGCGCCAAUCUCCCAUUUACCUGGCCAACGAUAAUCAGGAUCCAUAUAACGGUAACAGUAAUCAUAAUCAGGAUUCAUAUAACGGUAACGGUCUCACAAACCCAUGGUGACCCACUUCAUCACAAUUCCACACAAACAAAGCACAACAUAGUCACAACACAAAUAAUCAAACAAUUUUUAAUAUCAAAAAAUAGUGCAUCACAGUAUGAUAAUUCAACAAAAUAAUGCAUGAUAACAUUUAGCCGUGAAUGCAUGAAUGCAAGCGGAUGAUACUAGUUAUCUAACACUACUCACAAUUUUUUUUUUUUUCGUCCUUAAAAGGACUAUCUCUACUACUGCACGCUUCCAGCUUUUGUCUUCAUAUUCCGGAACUUUAUAAGCAUCUAAAAUAAUAAGAAAAUUCUAAAUAAGAAUUCUAAUUCGAAAAAUGUUUGCACAUUUAUUUAUUAGUUUGGUUACUAGAUAAUUAACUGACUUGUCAACUACAUUGUACAUAUACUGUGUUUUAUUAUUUAUUUAUUUAUUCUAAUUUCUAACCUUUAGAUGAAAUUUCUAAUUAUUCGGUAAAGUAAUAUUUUAUAAUAAUAAUAAUAUUAUUAUUAUUAUUAUUAUUACUAAUAAUAAUGAUAAUAAUAAAAAUACUUAAAGUUCUAAUCGUUACUACCUACUAAUUUAAUUCUUCAUUAAUUGUUUUCCUGAAAAUUCGGCAGCAUUUCCUCAAUAAACUGGACUAUCCAAGUUUUACAUAAUCCACACAUCAACACGCAGCCCAUCUAUCGGGCAAGUCACAUUAACUGAUCCCAUCCGCCAUAAACAUCAUUCAUCCAUUCAUUCAUUUCACAUAGUUCAUUAUAAUUAAUUGUUCUAUAAUUAUUUAUUUAUUACUAAAAUUCCUAAAAUUUAUUAUUAGCUAGUAAUAUAUAUUUUAGUACCAACCUUAUAGAUAUAAUUACUAUUCAUGAAAUAUAUUUAAUAAUAUUUAAUUUAAUUUACUUACAUACUUACUUAAGUUCAUUAAUUAAUUAAUUUGGGAUUUAUUCAAAACGAAUUAAGCUUUACAGUGUACCGAUUGAAAAUCGGAUGACAAAUCCACAGUCUACACGAGGAGAGGAAGAUUCUGCCUUUUUGGUGUCUCACCGGUGUAUCGCCGGACCGCCGCCGCCGCCGCCGUGCACGGUGGCCGGGAAAGUCAAAUCUUCACCAAAAUUAACAAACAAUACAUCAUUUUAUUCGUUUCGAUGAGAGGAUUACUAAUAUGUAUUCAAAUCAAGAUGAGUGUGAACUAUUUGUCCAGAAAUUGACCGGAAAGGUUCGGUGAUACCCAUUUUGGGUUUUCCGAUUCCGGCUAUUACAGUCGACGAGGAGGCCACCAAAUGAAAGGGGAAGAAGAGAGGAGUCAUUUGGUACUCACCUUGCGCCCAAAGCUUGCCUGAAACGGCGUGAAUCAUCGGAGAAAGGUGUCACUACGGUGGCCGAAACUUCAAGCUCUUCCCCUUCAAAAAAGGCGCAGUUUCAGUUCAAGUCAAAGCCAUAUUCUUCUUCCUUGCGUUGAGUAGAUGUUUUUAGAGUAUUCAUUAGCCGGAUUUGGUGGCCGGAGGACGGAGAUCGAAGGAGAGGAAGAGAGGGUCACGCGAAGAAGAAGAAGAAGAGGAAGAAAGAGAAAGAAAGAAAAGAGGUUCUAGAGAGUUCUGGCCCAUUUUGGUUCGAUUCGAACCGAUUUGGUCCAAAUCAACAAUUCGACUCGAUUUCUAUUUGGUUUAUUGGUUUUUCUCUUGGUUUUUGAAAAAUUAAAACGAAUUUCCGGUUCCUGUUAUUAAUAAUUAAAUAUUUAUUGUAUAACCCUAUUUUUAUUCUUUCUCAUUUGAUUUAUUUAAUUGAUUUAAUCAAAUUUAGGAUAAAAAAGUGGUAAAUCUAAUUUUAUUAAUUUUAAGUCGUCCGAUAUCAAUUCUAAGAAGUUUAAAUUAUUUUCGACUAGGUGUUCUGAUAACUUGUUUUGGGCUUGAGUUCAACUCGCUUUUUAGGCCCAGAUUAAAAUUGCUCAGUACUUAAGCCCAUAUCGUCAUAAAUUCAGAUUUUUUUUUUUUAUUUAUUAAAAAUUCAAAAGUUUUGAAAAUAAAAAUUCAGGGUAUUACAAUACCUAUAUCUAUCUAUAUUAUAUAUACCUUAGUUCCAAUUAUUUGUUUUCAAAGUGGUUUAAUUAUAUGAGUUUUGAUUACUGCUUUCUUUACAUAUACGUAUGUUCACUUCAGAUGUACCAUUGUGUUUUUCUUCAAUUGAGGUAAUGUUAACUUUUUGAUUUCUUUUUUUCUUUUUCAGAAUUUUUAAUUUUUUUAGCAAUUAUUUAUGGUUUUUUCUUUUUCUGCAUUCCAUGACUUUUCUCAUCUUUAAUAUUAUUUUUUUAAUCAUAUUUUCUUUGUCAUGUCACCGAUCGUAUGUGUAGGUAUGAAAAAUAUUAUAUUGAUGGAGACGAAGAUGAAAGAAAAGCUAACUAUAACUCAAUUUAUGUAUUUUUUUUUUAAUUUAUUAUGUUUUUAGCAAAUUGUAUAAAACUGUAAAUUGUAAAUUUUUUCCUUGAUCGCUCCAUAUUCAUAUAUAUUUAUGUAAAUUUUAAUUAGAUAUAAUUAUUUUGAUCCACGUAUUAUUAUUAUAACAAUGUAUUUUUUUGUUCUCCAGUUGUUGACUCUUCUUUUUUGGAAGAGAGAUCAAUUGUAGAAUUAAUAUAUUGCAUACAAUUAAGUGUUUAUAUUUGAUUUGAGUUUUAAAACUAAAACUGAGCUAAUAAAUUGGAGAGAGAAAUAUAAAGUGUAAUCUAUAUUUAUUUAUUUUUAUUUAUUUAUUAUUAGCACUACUACUUCAAUAGCAAAGUGUCAAUCUUUUUAGUAUUGAAGUUAUACAUUGCAAAGUGAACAUUUUCGUUAUUAAUUUAAAAGGAAAAAUGAAAGAAAUAUUAAAUUCAAUAAAUUAAAUAUACAUAAAAUAACAAAGAGAUCUUAUAAAUUAAAAAAAAUAAAUAUCUUUAAUAAAUUAAAAAUAAAUGAGAUACCUUAUUAUAUUAACAUAAGAUUCUUAUCAUUUUAAUUUUUAAUUUUAUUAUUUAAAUAUUAAGAAAUUAUAUCUAAUAAUUAUAUUUUAAAAAUUAAUGUUCAUUUAUAAUAAGUAUCUAUAUCUAUAUUUCUAUUUUGAAUUUCUAUUUUUUUAUUAUAUCAGUUAAGAUAUUUUUUUAAAUUUAAAAUUUUUUAAUUAUUUAAAAUAAUUAGCAAUAUUUAUAUUUAUAUUUGAAUAUUUGAAUUUAUUUUAGUUUUAAGAUAGGAUUGUUUAAUUUUUUUAUGUGUUUAUUUAAUUAUAAUAAUUAUCUAUUUUUACAUCUAUAUAUUAUUAUGAUUGUCUUUAUAGAUGAAAUUUUUCUAUAUGUCUUUCAAAUUUAUAAUUAUGCAAAAAAAAUUUAACUGAUACUUAUUGUCUAGCACUUUUGUAUUGUAUCCAUUUAUUUUAUUUUAGUGUUUAAUAUACUUUUUAUAAUUUUUUAUUUGCUUUUUUUUCAUUUCUUUUAAGAUUUUUUUAAUAAAUAUUUAUUUUUAUAUAUACAAUAAAAAAUAAUAUCUAAUAUAAUAUAUAAGAAAAUAGUAAUAAAGCAAUCGGCGCAACGCACGGGCUUUCUCCUAAUUUAAAAAUAAAAACAUAAUCACAAAUUUUUUUUUUUUUUUCAGUUUUGAUUCAGUUAAACUGAAAUGUUUUUACUAAAAAUAGUUCAAACUAAAAUAGCAAAAAUUCUUAAAUUAGAAACUAAACCCACUGUGAAUAAAAAAUAAAUAAAACCUCAACCCACUAAACAAAACAAAAAGCUGAAUUAAAUUGGUUGAAUUCAAUUUUUACGUUGUUCACCAUUUUGUAUUCACCCUUGUAUAUUGGGAACGGUAUUCAAGUAAGUGAAUUUCCUGACCAAUAAUAAUUUCAAAUUUUGAAAUCCUAAAAUUAUACUCUAUUAUACUAAUUAACAAUUUAGGGUCUGUUUGCAAAUUUAAUUUUUCUAGCGGCUAUUAAUUGUUUUAAUAUAUAUUAAUUAUUUUAGUCGCUAUUAGCUAUUAGAUGUUAGCUUUUAACUAUUAAGCAGCGGUUGAAAAUGAUAAAAAAUGAGUAAACUUAUAAAAAUUUAAUUGAAAGGAAAACUACAUUUAAAAAGAUUAAAAAAUUUAGCCCAUUGUAUUUAUUAAUAAUGAUAGCCCAUGGUUUAUUUUAUCAUUUUUGGGUUAAAAACUUUUGUCCACUAGUUUAUCACAAGUAAGUAUUAAACUCAUUGCGGUUUGACACGAUUUUACCAUAAUUACAAGUAAGUAUUAAAUUCACCAAUUCCAUCGAUUUAACACGAUUUUACCAUAAUUUCACUAAUUUUUAAUUUUACCAUGAUUCAACUCGAUUUAGUGAGUUAGGAGUUUUGAGUUUACAAUCCAACUCACGUUUUUCAAACAAUAAUUGGUUCAAUGGAUGAAAAAAAAAGGAAUAUUUUUGAAUGAAAGGCCCGUGUUGUUUGACAGUAAUAAAUUUAAAAGACAUUUAAAUUAGUUUUUAGAAAUGAAAGGACAGUUUUUUAAAUUAGUUUCUAUAAUUUUUAAAUUUUACACUACACUAAAACCCCUGUAAGCAUACAACGAAGCAUAAUUUAAUGAUAAGUGCAUAUACGACCUAAUAAUAAACUCAGAUUCAAAUUCCAUCUGCAAUACUAAAGAAAACAAAACCAUAUAAGCACUAUGUUUACUUUAUAUUCCUUUGUUUUUAUCCAUUUCGCUUUCCUCAUUUUUCACCUUUAAUUCCUCCAUAUGCCAGUGCAAUUUUACCUUUUGCAUAUAUAUAUUUUACCGUGAUAGAUAAUUUGUUUUUAAAACAUACAUAUUUUACCCUUAAUAUUAAAGGUGGAUGGUACUCGAUACUAUAUAUUCUAAAUAUUAAAUUAUUUUUCUUUUUGAUCCAAAAUACCCAACUUUGUUGCAUUACAAGCCCGUUAGAAGGAGCUGCUAAAUAAAUUAAAAUUUUAAGAUUUAGAGUUAACAACAUGAACGAGAAAAGAAAUUGAAAAAUAGAAUUGGGAUAAGGGCAAGAAAUAUAUUAUUUUAUUAUUUCAUGCAAAUGCAAAUUCAUUCCUUAUUCCAAGGGAAGCAAUAAUUGAAAAUCUUCUUUUCGUUAUUCCACAUACAAGGGCCUAAAGGUUGAACAAUCCAAGAACAAUAAUUAUUGCAUGUGUUUUGAUCUCUUUCUGUUGAGUAAAUAUCAAACCAAUGAAAGUUAUUUUUCCAUGCGAAUGAGCAAUAAAAGAGAGUGCUGUCUAUAAAAUUGGGAUGGAAACGAAAAGAAAAGUAGCCGUUGUGAUGUAAUACUUUGACACCCAGAUCAUCUUCUUUUGAUUUGCAAUGAACCGUUAGAUCCAACCCUGGACUCAAAACAUUAGUGAUAUUAACUGUAUGCAUUUUAGGAAAAGCCCAGCCUUCACACCUACUGAUCACCAGAAGAAACAUCAUUAGCAACCACAAGCUUCUAGUGAGCAUAGCUCUCAUUUUCAUGGAGUCUUUAGCCUUUUUUUAUUUCUUUUUUUUUAUUUUUGGAAUUUGGAAUUGGAAUGUAGCAUCAACUAGUAUGUGAGUGUAUA